rnacentral:rRNA from 1 species
CAGUCGCCGCGGUAAUACAGAGGGUGCAAGCGUUAAUCGGAGUUACUGGGCGUAAAGCGUGCGCAGGCGGUUUGUUAAGACAGAUGUGAAAUCCCCGGGCUCAACCUGGGAACUGCAUUUGUGACUGGCAAGCUAGAGUCUGGCAGAGGGGGGUGGAAUUCCGCGUGUAGCAGUGAAAUGCGUAGAUAUGCGGAGGAACACCGAUGGCGAAGGCAGCCCCCUGGGCCAACACUGACGCUCAUGCACGAAAGCGUGGGGAGCAAACAGGAUUAGAUACCCCUGUAGUCCCUGUCUCUUAUAC